AGAGUUUGAUCCUGGCUCAGGACUAACGCUGGCGGCGUGCCUAACACAUGCAAGUCGGAACGGAAGUAGCAAUACUUAGUGGCAGGACGGGUGGAGUAACACGUAGUCAACCUGCCCUUCAAUGGGGGAUAACUAGCCGGAAAGGUUAGCUAAUACCGCAUACGGAUCUCUGGAGUGGCAUCACUCGGCGGAUGGAAAGGAGUAAUCCGUUGGAAGGAGGGGACUGCGUCCCAUUGAGUUGAGUUGGUGGGGUAAUGGCCUACCAAGGACUCCGAUGGGUAGCUGGCUUGGAGAGAGCGACCAGCCCACACUGGGAACUGAGGACACGGUCCCAGGACUCCUACGGGGAGGGCAGCCAGUGGAGGGAAUUUUCCCGCAAUGGGGGGGAAGACCCUGGACGGGAGCCGACGCCCGCGUGUGGGGAAGGAAGGGCCUU
rnacentral:rRNA from 1 species